rnacentral:rRNA from 1 species
UACGAAGGGGGCUAGCGUUGCUCGGAAUCACUGGGCGUAAAGGGUGCGUAGGCGGGGCUUUAAGGCAGGGGUGAAAUCCUGGAGCUCAACUCCAGAACUGCCUUUGAUACUGAGGAUCUUGAGUUCGGGAGAGGUGAGUGGAACUGCGAGUGUAGAGGUGAAAUUCGUAGAUAUUCGCAAGAACACCAGUGGCGAAGGCGGCUCACUGGCCCGGAACUGACGCUGAGGUGCGAAAGCGUGGGGAGCAAACAGG